GAAUAAAGUAGGUCAAGAAAAUUACCAUUAUAAUGAUAUUCUCCUUGCUGUUCUCUAGCUGGUCCCCUGCCUGGCCCUGUGCUGCUGUAGGACCUUCCUCAGUGCUUCAUCUUGCCUCCUUGCACAGUGGCCAAUCUUCACAGAAAUGGCAAGAAACUCUUUUUCUGCCUUGUGGGAAAGACUCAGCUUUUUUUAGAAAAGGGAGCAGUUGCACAGAAGCCCUCAGGCUGAGAAGAGCCGACACUUCCCAGAACCAUUUCAGAGAGCAACUCCCAAAACUUUGCCUUUGCCACCUGCCUUAGAGAACCCUCCCCAGAGCCACAGCUUCAUUUUUGCCAGGAUGCCUGAAAUGUGACACAGAAAAAUGAAGAAACCAGAGAUUCAAGAGGUUUUUUAACUCAGGUGGAGGUUGGUGCCUUUAGGUAAAGUAUGAAAACAAAAGAGGAACAAUUAUCACUAGCUUAGUCUUGCCACUCUGGGGAAACAGUGCAAUUAGGGCAAGGAGUGAAAUACCAGCAUGACCUGAACAAGCUCAUUAUCAAUGAGAUUUCAAAAUGACAAUAUCAAUUAAUAAAAUGCACCAUGCAGCAUUAAAAUUCUAGCA
rnacentral:lncRNA from 1 species